CAGUAUUAACGUAAAAGUUAACUCAUAUUUGUAUGGAGUUGGAGUGUCUGCCUGCGUUUGCCGCUAGGGGUGCUGUUCCAACUGCAUACAAAUUUGAGUUAACUUUUACGCUAUCGA
rnacentral:pre_miRNA from 9 species